rnacentral:rRNA from 1 species
UGGGGAAUAUUGCACAAUGGGCGCAAGCCUGAUGCAGCAACGCCGCGUGCGGGAUGACGGCCUUCGGUUGUAAACCGCUUUCACCAGGGACGAAGCGUGAGUGACGGUACCUGGAGAAGAAGCACCGGCUAACUACUUGCCCG